rnacentral:lncRNA from 1 species
CUGAAACUCUACACAACAAAGAGCCAGGGUUCCCUGGUCUCCGAGGAGAACAAGGUCCAAAAGGAAACCUAGGCCUCAAAGGAAUAAAAGGAGACUCAGGUUUCUGUGCUUGUGACGGUGGUGUUCCCAACACUGGACCACCCGGGGAACCAGGCCCACCUGGUCCAUGGGGUCUCAUAGGCCUUCCAGGCCUUAAAGGAGCCAGAGGAGAUCGAGGCUCUGGGGGUGCACAGGGCCCAGCAGGGGCUCCAGGCUUAGUUGGGCCUCUGGGUCCUUCAGGACCCAAAGGAAAGAAGGGGGAACCAAUUCUCAGUACAAUCCAAGGAAUGCCAGGAGAUCGGGGUGAUUCUGGCUCCCAGGGCUUCCGUGGUGUAAUAGGAGAACCAGGCAAAGACGGAGUACCAGGUUUACCAGGUCUGCCAGGCCUUCCGGGUGAUGGUGGACAGGGCUUCCCAGGUGAAAAGGGGUUACCUGGACUUCCUGGUGAAAAAGGCCAUCCUGGUCCACCUGGCCUCCCAGGAAAUGGGUUACCAGGACUUCCUGGACCCCGUGGGCUUCCUGGAGAUAAAGGCAAGGAUGGAUUACCGGGACAACAAGGCCUUCCCGGAUCUAAGGGAAUCACCCUGCCCUGUAUUAUUCCUGGGUCAUACGGUCCAUCAGGAUUUCCAGGCACUCCCGGAUUCCCAGGCCCUAAAGGGUCUCGAGGCCUCCCUGGGACCCCAGGCCAGCCUGGGUCAAGUGGAACUAAAGGAGAGCCAGGGAGUCCAGGAUUGGUUCAUCUUCCUGAAUUACCAGGAUUUCCUGGACCUCGUGGGGAGAAGGGCUUGCCUGGGUUUCCUGGGCUCCCUGGAAAAGAUGGCUUGCCUGGGAUGAUUGGCAGUCCAGGCUUACCUGGUUCCAAGGGAGCCACUGGUGACAUCUUUGGUGCUGAAAAUGGUGCUCCGGGGGAACAAGGCCUACAAGGAUUAACAGGGCACAAAGGAUUUCUUGGAGACUCUGGCCUUCCAGGACUCAAGGGUGUGCACGGGAAGCCUGGCUUACUAGGCCCCAAAGGUGAGCGGGGCAGCCCUGGGACACCAGGACAGGUGGGACAGCCAGGCACUCCAGGAUCUAGUGGUCCAUAUGGCAUCAAGGGCAAAUCUGGGCUCCCAGGAGCACCAGGCUUCCCAGGCAUCUCAGGACAUCCUGGAAAGAAAGGAACAAGAGGCAAGAAAGGUCCUCCUGGAUCAAUUGUAAAGAAAGGGCUGCCAGGGCUAAAAGGCCUUCCUGGAAAUCCAGGCCUAGUAGGACUGAAAGGAAGCCCAGGCUCUCCAGGGGUCGCUGGGUUGCCAGCCCUCUCUGGACCCAAGGGAGAGAAGGGGUCUGUUGGAUUCGUAGGUUUUCCAGGAAUACCAGGUCUGCCUGGUAUUCCUGGAACAAGAGGAUUAAAGGGAAUUCCAGGAUCAACUGGAAAAAUGGGACCAUCUGGACGCGCUGGUACUCCUGGUGAAAAGGGAGACAGAGGCAAUCCGGGGCCAGUCGGAAUACCUAGUCCAAGACGUCCAAUGUCAAACCUUUGGCUCAAAGGAGACAAAGGCUCUCAAGGCUCAGCCGGAUCCAAUGGAUUUCCUGGGCCAAGAGGUGACAAAGGAGAGGCUGGUCGACCUGGGCCACCAGGCCUACCUGGAGCUCCUGGCCUCCCAGGCAUUAUCAAAGGAGUUAGUGGAAAGCCAGGGCCCCCUGGCUUCAUGGGAAUCCGGGGCUUACCUGGC